rnacentral:tRNA from 1 species
GUGGCUGGGACUCAGUGGUAGAGCACUCGCCUGGCACGCGUGAGGCCCUGGGUUCCAUCCUCAGCACCACA